rnacentral:rRNA from 1 species
GAUGAACGCUAGCGGCAGGCCUAACACAUGCAAGUCGAGGGGUAGAAGCUUUCGGGCUUUGAGACCGGCGCACGGGUGCGUAACGCGUAUGCAAUCUGCCUUGUACUGAGGGAUAGCCCAGAGAAAUUUGGAUUAACACCUCAUAGUAUUUUUGCCUGGCAUCAGGUGAUUAUUAAAGGUUACGGUACAAGAUGAGCAUGCGUCCCAUUAGCUAGUUGGUAUGGUAACGGCAUACCAAGGCUACGAUGGGUAGGGGUCCUGAGAGGGAGAUCCCCCACACUGGUAAUGGAACACGGACCAGACUCCUACGGGAGGCAGCAGUGAGGAAUAUUGGUCAAUGGGCGCAAGCCUGAACCAGCCAUGCCGCGUGCAGGAUGAAGCAUCUAUGGUGUGUAAACUGCUUUUGUACGGGAAGAAACACUGCUACGUGUAGCAGCUUGACGGUACCGUAAGAAUAAGGAUCGGCUAACUCCGUGCCAGCAGCCGCCGUAACAC